ACAACCAUAUCACUUUGAAACACAGGUUCCUGUAUGAUCACCAAAGUUAAGUAACUUUGAGCCUUGUCAGCACCUAGAUGGGUGACCACUUGGGAAUACCAGGGGCUGUAAG